GGAAUUAAUAAUAUGUUUUUCUCUUUUGAAUGAUAAAUAUGAUGCAUGUAUUAAUGAAUUUUCUAAUGUUGAAUGACCUUACAUUUUUGGAAUAAAUACUACUUGAUCAUGAUAUAUUGCUUUAUAAUAUGCUGUUGGUUUCUGUGUACUUACAUUUUUUAUGAAUUUGGCAUCAAUAUUCAUAGGUAAAAUUAAGCUGUAGUUUUAUAUGCAUUUUGUCAGGUUUUGGAAUUGAUGUUAUACUCAAUAAAAUGUAUUUGAAAUUACUCUUCCUUUUCAAUGCUCUGAAAUAGUGUAUAUAGUAAGGUGAUAAUCUCAUCCGCAAAGGCUUAUAGAAUUCCAUAUGAAACCUAAGACUGGUGGGAUUUUUGUUGCUGUUGUUUUAAAUCAGAAACUAUUUUACUAUUUGCUUUAUUGUUUUUGUAUUAUAAUUAGUCUAUCUAGGUUUUCAGCCUCAAAUUAGAGGAAUUUUGGUAAGUUGUCUUCUAUAAGUUUUCCAUUUCCUUUACGUUUUUAUACUUAUUUGUAUCGUGCUUUUUGUAAGAUAGUGGUCCAGCUUUCCUUUUUAUGGUUAGUCCACAUUAAAAAAAAAAAAAAAAAAUUGGGUGUGUUUCUGUUUUUGUCUUGAUUAGGUUAGCUAAUGAUUUGCUCUUAUUUUUUUAUCGAUUCUUCAGUUUGUUUCUGUUUUUGAACUCAUUACUACAAAUUCAGUUGCAUUAACUAGAACUAAUGCUUGGGUGGUUUCUUUUUCAGAAUGUUCCUGGUUAUUAUGGCUCAGGCUGCCAUUUUAAUUGCUCAUGUCAGAACAAUGGAGUCUGCAGUCGGUUUUCUAAAAGCUGUGAGUGCCUUUAAGGUUCCCACAGAAGGAACUGUGAACAUGGUAAACAGAGAUAACAAGUGGGCAUUUCAUAGUGUUGACAAGUUUUAAGCUUUAAAAACUGCUUUGGGGCGCCUGGGUGGCUCAGUUGUUUGAGCAUCUGACUUCGACUCAGGUCAUGAUCUCCCAGUUUGUUUGAGCCCCGCAUGGGGCUCUGUGCUGACAGCUCAGAGCCUGGAGCCUGCUUCAGAUUCUGUGUUCUCCCUCUCUCUCUGCUCCUCCCCUGCUUGCGCCCUGUCUCUCUCUCUUUCUCAACAAUAAAUACACAUAAAAAAAAAAUUUAACUGCUUUAAAUCAUUAAAGUAAUACAUUCACAUUAUAUCAAAUUAGGUAAACUGUUAAUGAUUUAGUUUCCUACAAUGGAUUUCAUAGCUCUAAUUUAAGUUCUAGAUGUUGCAUCUAGAUGUUGCCAUGAUGAAGUAAUUGAACUUGUUCAUUCUUUUUAUAACUCUUGUUCAACAAUGAUUCCAUGGUUCCAGGAGCAUCUGGAGUAGACACAAGCAGAGGAGUCAGCUGCCAUACUUUUUGAACAAAGUUGUUCUUCCUCUGCCUUUAGGCAAAAUAUAGACAAGCUCUGGCAAACAUAUUUCCCAGGAACAAAUCUUAUUAAGCUUUCUGAAGUUUAGAAUUCUCGCCAACUACUCUGAGGUUUCUUAGGUCAGUAAGUAUUGAAUCAAACGUCUUGUAGUUUUUGUUUGUUUUGUUUUCAAGAUCGGAGUAACAGAUACAAGAGAGUAAAAUAUAUUUAUUCAAAGCUCAUAAAUUUCAUCUUCUGUGUAGUUGCUUAUCAAGGAAGAUUUUGAGCAGACAGGAGACAUCACUCUGGUGAAACAUCUGUAAAGUGGGUACAUUGUUGAUCAUCGGGAAGGAUAGUCAUGAGUAUUGUCUAUGCGGGAAGCUAUAAUUAUGGUCCAGAAUUUUUAAAAUAUAAACUGGGAUAAAAAUGGGAAUGAAUGAGCAAACGAUUAUUUUGGAAGAAUAAUUGACUGUUUUAGGCAAUUGAUUUGGACAUGAAGAUGAAGAAAAUGAAGGAAUCAAAGAUGGCUAUAAGUUCUGAGCCAGGGAGCCUGGAAGAAUAAUAGUAUUAUUGAAAGAAAUGAAUAAGUUGAGCAAAGCAAUCUUCAUGAAUUCAAUUUUAUAUAUAAUUAAAAUAAAAGAGAUAAAGUAUAGUUGAUUUUUUUUCUAUGUGUUUUCAGUAGCAAUUGUACAAGAACAAACAGAAGAAACAUUGCAUUGGAUCUUCCUUUUUACUUAUUUUUGAAGAUUUAUGAGAUCAGACAAUAGAAGGCGUGCCUUCCUGGAUUUUAUGGUUUGGAUUGUGCUCACAUCUGUGACUGCAAAAAUGGAGCCAGUUGUGAUGCAGUGAAUGGACAGUGCAUUUGCCCAGCAGGUUUCCAUGGCAGCCAGUGUGAAAAAGGUAUAGCCAGAGCAUUUUUAGACAUAUGGGAAUUCUGUGUGACCAUGACAUCUUUCCAACUGAGGGCCAAAAUACAAACUCCAGUUGAAAACAUGGAAUAAUCAUCUAAACUUCCGACUUGGACAUUAAAGAGACAAGAAUUCAUUCUACGCCAAUAUAGUUGUUCUUUCUGAUUUUGCUUCUAGUUGAUCAAAAUGUUUUGCCUCCUAUAAAUGAAAUUGUUUAAUAUCUCAAAACAUCACCAACGCUGUUAACUUUUUUUUUUGAUAUCUUUAUUUAUUUUUGAGACAGAGAGAGACAGAGCAUGAGCAGGGGAGGGGCAGAGAGAGAGGGAGACACAGAAUCUGAAGCAGGCUCCAGGCUCCGAGCUAUCAGCACAGAGCCUGACACGGGGCUCGAAUUCACGGACUGUGAGAUCAUGACUUGAGCUGAAGUUGGACACUUAACCGACUGAGCCACCCAGGCACCCCAAAAGCUGUUAGCUUUUAGUGGACAAAUGAUCUCCCUCUGAAUGAAAAAUAUUUCAUUAAAUGUUUUUAAAAGACUAUGUUGGGUUCAAUGGAAUUGAAAUAAAUAUAAGGGUUUUAUGAAAAAAUAUUGAAAGAUGUGAAUUGGGCUUUUAUCACAAGAAAGUAGUGGCAGCCAUGAACGUGGAUGAAUAGACGGAGGUGGGAAUUUGGGCUACUCAGUUUGAAACAAAGUAUUAUAAAGUCCUAAAAGACUCUGAUCAGCCUACUUCUAAACAAUACCAAACUACAUAGUUCUUAGUAAACAACUCUAAGUCUUACUCUCUAUUAUCUACAGUCUUGUGCAUAUCAUUACAACAACCAUGAUAAUAAUACUAUAAUAUAUAAUAUAAUAAUUUGACUUUAUGUGAACCAAAAUUAUUGCCUCUUAAAAAGAUUUAUAUAUUAGUCUCAUACCAUAUCCUCAUUUGUCACUAGAGCCUUAUAUAUAGUAUUUCUUGUCCAUCCUUUAUUCAUUUAUUAUUUAGUGAUUCAAUAAUGUGCUCUUGUUAUGUGCCUGAUUCUGCAUUAAAAUGUGGGAAUAUAGUGGAAAACAUAGAGCUAACAGUCUUCUGAGGAGAUACACAAUAAAUAGCUUUUUAAGGAAAAGUAUUAAAAUGCCCUUAGUUAGUGGACUCAGUCUCUUUCCUUAAAUUCCUAUCUUCAAAAAGCUUACCCACAUUCUGACAGAUAUAAACCAUUGUCGAAAUAUAUAGAUUUUAAGACCUGAAUGUGAAAUUGUGUAUACAAUGCAGCCUCUUUCUGAAAAUUCCAAAACUUCCCUCCCUUCUUCUGACCAACAAAUAUCAGUUUACCAUCCCAUUUUGUUAGUUGGGACUUAAUCUUGAGGAAAUUGUAUUUUUUUAAAUUUUUUAAUAUGUAUUUAUUUUUGAGAGAGAGAGAGAGAGAAUCAGAGAGUGCGAGCAAGGGAGGGGCACCGAGAGAGAGGGAGACACAAAAUCUGAAGCAGGCUCCCGGCUCCGAGCUGUCAGCACAGAGUUCGACAUGGGGCUCAAACUCAGGGACCAUGAGAUCAUGACCUAAGCUAAAGUCGGAUGCUUAACCAACAGAGCCACCCAGGCACCCCGAGGAAAUUGUAUUUUAAUCUCAAUUUAAGUGCAUCAGUGAAAGCUCAGAGGGUUAAUUUUUCAGUAUUCCUUGGUAGAGUAUUCACCUGGAAUGUUUGGAGACAAUUGCCAUCAACUUUGUGACUGUGAAUGAGAAAGGUCCUGCCACUCAGUAACUGGAAAAUACUUCUAUCCACCUGAGAAAACUGGAGCCACAUGUGAUGCUGAAUGCAGGUCAGGCCAGUAUGGAUCGAACUGUGCUCUGAAGCGUCAGUGUAUCCACAGAGCUCACUGUAACUCUCAUGUUGGAAGCUGCACUUGCCCCUCAAAGAGAAUGGGUCCAACGUGUGAGGAAAAUGAUUUGGGCGAGCCUCAAUAACCAAAUACUAGCAGCUUUUCAGUGGGUGAAUAGAAUGUUGCCAGGGUUCACCCAUGGUUCAUCAUCUUAACUUUGGCAGAGAAAUGUACUUACUCAACAACUAUCUUCGGCCCAGCUUCGCCUGUUGUGAGGUGAAAAACAGGACGUUUCAACUUUAUGGCUUCCAAAGACAAGUUCCAUUCUCUAACCUACCCUUCCCAACUGCUUUUUGCUGAAGAACAUGCCCAAGAAAAAGAAUGUUUUUUCAAGAUCCCAAUCAUAGUAACAUUUUGGACUAAUAAAUAAAACUCUUUUUUUUUUUUUAUAUGCACAGGCGGUAUUUAAAUUUGGAAUGAAGAACUGCUUCUCAGUUCAGGUUGGACUGCACUGAAAUAUUCACACCUAUUCACCGAAGACCUCAGUGGCUAUUAAGUAGCUGGAUCCUCUUUAGAAAUGUCUAGAAUUUCAUCUAUUUAUUCUCAGUAUCCUGCUUCACAGUUCAGUCUGCUUCAGAUUGUUAAUGUAUUGUAUUUCAAACAUGACUUUUGGUGUGGGAGACUAUUAAGACGUAGCCACAUAAAAAUCAGUGUAAAAGUAUGAUGUGCACACUUAUAAUGAAUCAUCAAAAUGUUUAGUGGUGUUCUCCCCAUCAAUGGUCAGCCUACAGGAAAAAAGUCAGUGAGCAAGGCAAGUUCUUAGCCAGCCCUCGGAGACAGAUUUCCCAUAGAGAAGGGCCUGCUGGGAAUUAGGCUUUUAAUCCACAUUGGUAUUCUUCACCCAAAUUGCUCAUCAACCAGUGUCUCUUGGCUAUACCUAUCUGACCUGCAAAGAGAAUAAGAUAUAUAAAAACAACAUUCUCUUUUGGGCUGCCAUCCACCACUGGACUCCCUUCAUUUCAAGACUUAAAAAAACAGUGACUACAGAGAAAAGAAGCAAGAAACCAGAUUUCUCUUCCUUACUAGAGAUGUUAUCUCCUAUUAAGACAGGCAAGAAACUCUAGAUUUGGCAGGGUAAAAAAGAGUAAGACUUCUUUUGGUUGAAUUUGUUUCCUUAUGUACUGCUUAACUUUUUAUAAAUGUGAAACCAUGUGUGUAAAAUGCUAAGCACAGUUCUUGGCAAAUGUCAGGCGGUCCAUAUAUUAUCUUCUUUCACCUCCUUUUCCACCCCAAGCUCUAAAACAAAUUUUGAGAGUGGGCAAAGUCAAAGCAUGUGCUUGUACUUGCACAGUCACAUGACCCAUUAAACAAAUUGAGUUUCACUUUCCUUCUUAUACCAGUCAACAGGAAAUAAUGCAAGUGGCUGUUGCCCCAUUUCUUUACAAAAAAAAUUGUAGGUUGUCUUUCAUAUCAAAAAAGAAAACAGAGACAUGUUUAAAGUCUGGAAUAUUUUCAUCUUUCUUAAGUCAUCUUGAAUAAUGUUGAUUUAGGUGGUACCCUGCAAAAGUUAAUAGUCAUAUGGUAGGUCAUCCCUCCUAAAAAUAGUCCAGUCCUUCUGCUUGAGAACACUGGCAGAUAUCUGAAAAUCAUAUCAAACAAUACCAUUUCAUUCACGGACCAAUAUACAAUGAAUGAUAAUCUUAAAUAAUUGAAUAACCAGAAAACUCUAAAAUAGAAUUUUCUUGCAAACUCAUACAACAGAAUUUAAAAAUUCAUUUUUUAAUAACUGCCAUUUUAGAAUGCUUCAAAUUAAAAAAAUAAUAUAUAAUGACCUACAUUUUUGAACAAAUAAAGUAUAUUUUUUAUAUUUAUAAGGAUUUAACUGAGCUUGCCACAUGUAAACAGUUAUUCUGGUACAGUGAAGGGUGAUUUGGCUUCUAAGAAAUAACUUGCACAAAAUUACAAGGAGUUCAACUAUUGUUUAAUGUUUAUUUAUUUUUGAAGGAGGGAGAGACAGAGUGUGAGUGGGGGCGGGGGCAGAGAGAGAGGGAGACACAGAAUCUGAAACAGGCUCCAGGCUCUGAGUUGUCAGCACAGAGCCCGAUGCGGGGCUCGAACCCACAAACCGUGAGAUCAUGACCGGAGCUGAAGUCGGAGGCUCAACGGACUGAGCCACCCAGGCACCCCAAGAGUUCAACUGUUGUUUAAAAUGACGCAUGAUUGGGACACCCGCGUGGCUCAGUUGGUUAAGUGUUUGACUCUUGGUUUCAGCUCAGGUCAUGAUCCCAUGGUUUGUGGGUUCCAGUCCUGCAUCAGGCCUAUGCUGACUGCGUGGAGCCUGCGUGGGGUUCUUGCUUUCCUUGUCUCUCUGCCCCUCCCCCCUCUCA